rnacentral:rRNA from 1 species
AUGCGAUACUUGGUGUGAAUUGCAGAAUCCCGUGAACCAUCGAGUCUUUGAACGCAAGUUGCGCCCGAAGCCACUAGGCUGAGGGCACGCCUGCCUGGGUGUCACGC